AUUUAAGUAGUUUAAUAAAAAAUUUUGAUUUGUGGCAUCAGAGAUAUGGUAAAAUCAUCUUAAAUU
rnacentral:tRNA from 1 species